CACCAGACUCCUACGGGAGGCAGCAGUGAGGAAUAUUGGUCAAUGGCCGAGAGGCUGAACCAGCCAAGUCGCGUGAGGGAAGACGGCCCUACGGGUUGUAAACCUCUUUUGUCGGGGAGCAAAGCGAACCACGUGUGGUUCAUUGAGAGUACCCGAAGAAAAAGCAUCGGCUAACUCCGUGCCAGCAGCCGCGGUAAUACGGAGGAUGCGAGCGUUAUCCGGAUUUAUUGGGUUUAAAGGGUGCGCAGGCGGAGGUGCAAGUCAGCGGUCAAAUUGCGGGGCUCAACCCCGGCCUGCCGUCGGAACUGGGUGCCUUGAGUGGGCGAGAAGUAUGCGGAAUGCGUGGUGUAGCGGUGAAAUGCAUAGAUAUCACGCAGAACCCCGAUUGCGAAGGCAGCAUACCGGCGCCCUACUGACGCUGAGGCACGAAAGUGCGGGUAUCGAACAGGAUUAGAUACCCUAGUAUAA
rnacentral:rRNA from 1 species